CCUACGGGGGGCAGCAGUGAGGAAUAUUGGUCAAUGGGCGCGAGCCUGAACCAGCCAAGUAGCGUGAAGGAUGACUGCCCUACGGGUUGUAAACUUCUUUUAUGAAGGAAUAAAGUGAGACACGUAUGCCUUUUUGUAUGUACUUUAUGAAUAAGGGUCGGCUAACCCCGUGCCAGCAGACGCGGUAAUACGGAGGAUCCGAGCGUUAUCCGGAUUUAUUGGGUUUAACGGGAGCGUAGAUGGGUUGUUAAGUCAGUUGUGAAAGUUUGCGGCUCAACCGUAAAAUUGCAAUUGAUACUGGCAGCCUUGAGUACAGUUGAGGGAGGCGGAAUUCGUGGUGUAGCGGUGAAAUGCUUAGAUAUCACGAAGAACUCCGAUUGCGAAGGCAGCUUACUAAACUGCCACUGACAUUGAUGCGCGAAAGUGUGGGUAUCAAACAGGAUUAGAUACCCCUGUAGUC
rnacentral:rRNA from 1 species